rnacentral:rRNA from 1 species
AGUGAACGCUGGCGGUAGGCCUAACACAUGCAAGUCGAACGGCAGCACAGUAAGAGCUUGCUCUUACGGGUGGCGAGUGGCGGACGGGUGAGGAAUACAUCGGAAUCUACUUUUUCGUGGGGGAUAACGUAGGGAAACUUACGCUAAUACCGCAUGCGACCUACGGGUGAAAGCAGGGGAUCUUCGGACCUUGCGCGAUUGAAUGAGCCGAUGUCGGAUUAGCUAGUCGGCGGGGUAAAGGCCCACCAAGGCGACGAUCCGUAGCUGGUCUGAGAGGAUGAUCAGCCACACUGGAACUGAGACACGGUCCAGACUCCUACGGGAGGCAGCAGUGGGGAAUAUUGGACAAAGGGCGCAAGCCUGAUCCAGCCAUACCGCGUGGGUGAAGAAGGCCUUCGGGUUGUAAAGCCCUUUUGUUGGGAAAGAAAAGCAGCAGGUUAAUACCCCGCUGUUCUGACGGUACCCAAAGAAUAAGCACCGGCUAACUUCGUG